GCCCUCCGGCUGGGUCGGACGGUCUGGUGCGCUUGAUGUGUUUUUAGUACCAUCGCACAUCAGGCUGAACGACUCAGAGGAGUGGCC
ncrna:Macacine gammaherpesvirus 4 (Rhesus lymphocryptovirus) microRNA rlcv-mir-rL1 precursor (rlcv-mir-rL1-14-2)